UACAGGGGGGGCAAGCGUUGUUCGGAAUUACUGGGCGUAAAGGGUUCGUAGGCGGCCAACUAAGUCACACGUGAAAUCCCCAGGCUUAACCUGGGAACUGCGUGUGAUACUGGAUGGCUUGAAUCCGGGAGAGGGAUGCAGAAUUCCAGGUGUAGCGGUGAAAUGCGUAGAUAUCUGGAGGAAUACCGGUGGCGAAGGCGGCAUCCUGGACCGGCAUUGACGCUGAGGCGCGAAAGCUAGGGGAGCAAACGGG
rnacentral:rRNA from 1 species